AUCUGUAUAUGAGGUAGUAUGCUUGAGUGACAGUGGAAUCUAUCUACAUGCCAAUUAUAUCCAAGUGAAUGAUGGGGGGGGCUCUUUUAGUCUUAGAAUGCUGUUUUGUGGUCUGUUUGAGACAAGAAGAACGCAUGGUGUGAUGAAUGAAAAAAAUAGGUUCUCGUGCAAUAAUGUAGCAGUCACUGUUCGCGUGAUGAGUCUGUGAGUGGAUAAGACGUAAAUGCGGUAGAAGCCUAGAUACAGUGACAUGGAUCGCUGCCAGCCCCACGGCAUUGUAUCCACUAGCUAAUGGUAAAUUCGUCGCCAUGUUAGUUGUAUCAAGGUCGUUUCUUUCUCGGCAGGCUGUCGAGAAAGGUUUUCCUCUUGGUUCCACAAAGAUACAGCAUUGUGUUGAGGGAGACUGAAACCAGAACCUACUUGCUGGUAGCUAGGAGUUAUCCAAGAUAAAACCAGGUACAGCAACGCUCAAUGUGGGCUUAUACUGGCGUUUUUGUUGAUAUAUUUGAAAUACGAGAUGUACACAUCUGUAGAACUUACCCACGGCAUACGUUAGGUCGGUUUCGUAAACACUGGAAUUUGGUAGUGAAACAUCAUAAAACUUUUGAUAUUCCACAUUUGGUGGUUAACCUACCGAUGAUGUUUGAUAAACCUAAAACCUGGACUUACUUUCAUCUUUGUAAAGUAUUAUUCUUCAGAUAGAAUUAAUAAAUCAUAUCACAGUGAAGUUGAUUGUUUUAUUUGGAAACGUUGCCUCAAUGUUAUGAUUUAAUAUACUGAAUAUUAAAGACUGUAUGUAAUAUGAUUAUUGUACAGUGAAGUUUUGUAUUAAAGAAUAAAAAGCUUGAAACUACAAAAAGA